rnacentral:tRNA from 1 species
GACCCUGUAGCUCAGUUGGAAGAGCAUUGGACUAGCAAACCAAAAGUCGCGGGUUCGAUUCCCACCGUGGUCA